UACAUGGGGUGCAAACGUUGCUCGGAAUCAUUGGGCGUAAAGCGCGCGUAGGCGGUUAUUUAAGUUGGAUGUGAAAGCCCACGGCUUAACUGAGGAAGUGCAUCCAAAACUGAAUAGCUAGAGUACGAAAGAGGGUCGCGGAAUUCCCGGUGUAGAGGUGAAAUUCGUAGAUAUCGGGAGGAACACCGGUGGCGAAGGCGGCGACCUGGGUCGAGACUGACGCUGAGGCGCGAAAGCGUGGGGAGCAAACAGG
rnacentral:rRNA from 1 species